rnacentral:tRNA from 1 species
GCAGAGGUGGUUCUGUGGUAGAAUUCCCACCUUCCAUGCAGGAGACACGGGUUAGAUUCCUGCCCGAUGCA